UUGACAUCCAGCGAACUUUCCAGAGAUGGAUUGGUGCCUUCGGGAACGCUGAGACAGGUGCUGCAUGGCUGUCGUCAGCUCGUGUUGUGAAAUGUUGGGUUAAGUCCCGCAACGAGCGCAACCCUUAUCCUUUGUUGCCAGCGAUUCGGUCGGGAACUCAAAGGAGACUGCCGGUGAUAAACCGGAGGAAGGUGGGGAUGACGUCAAGUCAUCAUGGCCCUUACGAGUAGGGCUACACACGUGCUACAAUGGCGCAUACAAAGAGAAGCGACCUCGCGAGAGCAAGCGGACCUCAUAAAGUGCGUCGUAGUCCGGAUCGGAGUCUGCAACUCGACUCCGUGAAGUCGGAAUCGCUAGUAAUCGUGGAUCAGAAUGCCACGGUGAAUACGUUCCCGGGCCUUGUACACACCGCCCGUCACACCAUGGGAGUGGGUUGCAAAAGAAGUAGGUAGCUUAACCUUCGGGAGGGCGCUUACCACUUUGUGAUUCAUGACUGGGGUGAAGUCGUAACAAGGUAGGCGUAGCGAG
rnacentral:rRNA from 1 species